AAGUGCAUGUGGUGGAUGCCUUGGCAGUCAGAGGCGAUGAAAGACGUAAUAGCCUGCGAUAAGCUUCGGGGAGGCGGCAAAUAUCCUGUGAUCCGGAGAUUUCUGAAUGGGGAAACCCACUUACCAUAAGGUAGGUAUCGCAUGAUGAAUACAU
rnacentral:rRNA from 12 species